UACGUAGGGGGCUAGCGUUGUCCGGAAUCAUUGGGCGUAAAGAGCGUGUAGGCGGCCCGGUAAGUCCGCUGUGAAAGUCGGGGGCUCAACCCUCGAAAGCCGGUGGAUACUGUCGGGCUAGAGUGCGGAAGAGGCGAGUGGAAUUCCUGGUGUUGCGGUGAAAUGCGCAGAUAUCAGGGGGAACACCGAUGGCGAAGGCAGCUCGCUGGGACGGUACUGACGCUGAGGCGCGAAAGCGUGGGGAGCAAACAGG
rnacentral:rRNA from 1 species